UACGAAGGGUGCAAGCGUUACUCGGAAUUACUGGGCGUAAAGCGUGCGUAGGUGGUUCGUUAAGUCUGCUGUGAAAUCCCCGAGCUCAACUUGGGAAUUGCAGUGGAUACUGGCAAGCUGGAGUACGGUAGAGGAAGGUGGAAUUCCCGGUGUAGCAGUGAAAUGCGUAGAGAUCGGGAGGAACACCAGUGGCGAAGGCGGCCUUCUGGACCAGUACUGACGCUCAUGCACGAAAGCGUGGGGAGCAAACAGG
rnacentral:rRNA from 1 species